AUACGUAGGGGGCGAGCGUUGUCCGGAAUGAUUGGGCGUAAAGGGCGCGUAGGCGGCCCGGUAAGUCUGGAGUGAAAGUCCUGUUUUUAAGAUGGGAAUUGCUUUGGAUACUGUCGGGAUUGAGUGCAGGAGAGGUGAGUGGAAUUCCCUGUGUAGCGGUGAAAUGCGUAGAGAUUGGGAGGAACACCAGUGGCGAAGGCGACUUACUGGACUGUAACUGACGCUGAGGCGCGAAAGUGUGGGGAGCAAACAGGAUUAGAUACCCCGGUAGUCCUGGCCGUAAACGAUGGGUACUAGGUGUGGGAGGUAUCGACUCCUUCCGUGCCGGAGUUAACGCAAUAAGUACCCCGCCUGGGGAGUACGGCCGCAAGGCUUAAACUCAAAGGAAUUGACGGGG
rnacentral:rRNA from 1 species